UUUCCUACGGGCGGCUGCAGUGGGGAAUAUUGGACAAUGGGCGAAAGCCUGAUCCAGCCAUGCCGCGUGAGUGAUGAAGGCCCUAGGGUUGUAAAGCUCUUUUGUGCGGGAAGAUAAUGACGGUACCGCAAGAAUAAGCCCCGGCUAACUUCGUGCCAGCAGCCGCGGUAAUACGAAGGGGGCUAGCGUUGCUCGGAAUCACUGGGCGUAAAGGGUGCGUAGGCGGAUUUUUAAGUCAGGGGUGAAAUCCUGGAGCUCAACUCCAGAACUGCCUUUGAUACUGGGAAUCUUGAGUUCGGGAGAGGUGAGUGGAACUGCGAGUGUAGAGGUGAAAUUCGUAGAUAUUCGCAAGAACACCAGUGGCGAAGGCGGCUCACUGGCCCGAUACUGACGCUGAGGCACGAAAGCGUGGGGAGCAAACAGGAUUAGAUACCCGUGUAGUCCC
rnacentral:rRNA from 1 species